AAGGAGUGGAGGGAGAGGGAGAGAGAGAAUCUCGAGCAGAUUCCCCAGUGAGCAUAGAGCCCAAAAUGGGGUUGGAUUCCACCACACC